rnacentral:rRNA from 1 species
GAACUGAAGAGUUUGAUCCUGGCUCAGAUUGAACGCUGGCGGCAUGCCUUACACAUGCAAGUCGAACGGCAGCACGGGUGCUUGCACCUGGUGGCGAGUGGCGAACGGGUGAGUAAUACAUCGGAACAUGUCCUGUAGUGGGGGAUAGCCCGGCGAAAGCCGGAUUAAUACCGCAUACGAUCUACGGAUGAAAGCGGGGGACCUUCGGGCCUCGCGCUAUAGGGUUGGCCGAUGGCUGAUUAGCUAGUUGGUGGGGUAAAGGCCUACCAAGGCGACGAUCAGUAGCUGGUCUGAGAGGACGACCAGCCACACUGGGACUGAGACACGGCCCAG